rnacentral:rRNA from 1 species
UGGGGGAUAUUGCACAAUGGAGGAAACUCUGAUGCAGCAACGCCGCGUGAGGGAAGAAGGUCUUCGGAUUGUAAACCUAAGUAGUCAGGGACGAAAGAAAUGACGGUACCUGAAGAGUAAGCUCCGGCUAACUACGUGCCAGCAGCCGCGGUAAUACGUAGGGAGCGAGCGUUGUCCGGAUUUACUGGGUGUAAAGGGUGCGUAGGCGGGCCUGCAAGUCAGACGUGAAAUACCGGGGCUUAACUCCGGGGCUGCGUUUGAAACUGUGGGUCUUGAGUGAAGUAGAGGCAGGCGGAAUUCCUAGUGU